rnacentral:rRNA from 1 species
UACAGAGGGUGCGAGCGUUAAUCGGAAUUACUGGGCGUAAAGCGUGCGUAGACGGUUUCGUAAGUCGGGUGUGAAAUCCCCGGGCUCAACCUGGGAAUUGCAUUCGAAACUGCGAGGCUAGGGUACGGAAGAGGGAAGCGGAAUUUCUGGUGUAGCGGUGAAAUGCGUAGAUAUCGGAAGGAACACCAAUGGCGAAGGCAGCUUCCUGGCCCAAUACUGACGCUCAGGUGCGAAAGCGUGGGGAUCAAACAGG